rnacentral:rRNA from 1 species
UUUCAAAACUAAGGUGACGGCGGACGGGCAUGCGUGCCAUUAGAUAGUUGGCGGGGUAACGGCCCACCAAGUCGACGAUGGCUAGGGGAUCUGAGAGGACGGUCCCCCACACUGGUACUGAGACACGGACCAGACUCCUACGGGAGGCAGCAGUAAGGGAUAUUGGUCAAUGGGGGGAACCCUGAACCAGCCAUGCCGCGUGAGGGAAUAAGGCCCUACGGGUCGUAAACCUCUUUUGCCGGGGGAUAAGGACAGUUACGUGUAGCUGUUUGAAGGUACCCGGAGAAUAAGCAUCGGCUAACUCCGUGCCAGCAGCCGCGGUAAUACGGAGGAUGCGAGCGUUAUCCGGAUUUAUUGGGUUUAAAGGGUGCGCAGGCGGGCGAUUAAGUCAGCGGUGAAAGGCUCGGGCUCAACCGGAGCAGUGCCGUUGAUACUGGUUGCCUUGAAUGCGGUCAAGGCCGGCGGAAUGUGGCGUGUAGCGGUGAAAUGCAUAGAUAUGCCACAGAACACCGAUAGCGAAGGCAGCUGGCCGGGCCUGCAUUGACGCUGAGGCACGAAAGCGUGGGGAUCGAACAGGAUU